UACGGAGGGUGCAAGCGUUAUCCGGAUUCACUGGGCUUAAAGGGUGCGUAGGAGGCCUGGUAAGUCAGUGGUGAAAUCCCCGAGCUUAACUUGGGAACUGCCGUUGAUACUAUCAGUCUUGAAUGUUGUGGAGGUAAGCGGAAUAUGUCAUGUAGCGGUGAAAUGCUUAGAUAUGACAUAGAACACCUAUUGCGAAGGCAGCUUACUACGCAGAUAUUGACGCUCAUGCACGAAAGCGUGGGGAGCAAACAGG
rnacentral:rRNA from 1 species